rnacentral:ncRNA from 1 species
GAUAAUCCGAGGAAACAGAGUAGUAGGCUCACUGGAUGGUGCAGAGAGUUGGCGGUUGUUGCGAGCCAAACCGGAAGAAGCCGAACUCGCUGCGGAGGGGCAGGCGCGAGAGGUAGCGGCUGACGUGUGAUCAGCGUUAAUGAUCCAGAGAGGACGGCGCUGUAGUCGUCAAACAGGGUGGUAUCGCGGGAAAUGCUCGUCCCUGGC